CCAAGGGCUGUCUACAGCAACAGGGCCUGCAAUGGAAUAAAGACCCAGAAGCCAACAGCAGCGAGGCCGGAGACACAGAAAACACAACCAGAGUCUUCAGGGCAGCAACAGGAGAUGCAGCUUUAAGGGUCCAUCAGGCAGGAAGAACGACCCGGAAGAGGCUUGCCUCAGGCCAGACCCCAUGACUUUGGCUGGGUGUAUCCCUACUACAGUGAGAUGUGAACUCUGGAACCUCUCAAGCUACAAGCCAUUCCCCACAGGAUUAUCUGCCUUCACUUUUCUAAUGUAACAACUGCUUUCCAAGGCAGUGUAGCACAGGUGAUUAAGAGUGGAUACUGCUGCAAGAGUGCCUGGAUUUCGAAGCUGGCUCUACUACUUACUGGCUGUGCAAUCUUGCGCAAGCCACUUAACCUGUCUGUGGUUCAGUUCCCUUAGCUAUAAAAAGGAGACAGAAAUAGUACCUACCUCACACGUUGCUAUGAGGAUUAAUUGAAAUAAUAUAAAUAGAAAGCACCAAGAAUAGUGUGGCACAGAGAGUAUUAUGUAAGUGUAUGCUAUAAUUAUUAAUGAUACCUUCUAUUUUCAUAAGUGUUUUUCCCUUUAUUAAGAGUUUUGUAAAGGAAUUAAUCUUGUAUAGUUCAUACCUGUGUUCUUCCAUUGCAUAGAGCAUAGCUUUUAUUUGCUAUAGCAAAUAACAUUUUUGCAAAUAGCAAAGAAAAUUUUGUUGAAUAAAUAAAUGAGUGAAUGAAUUCCUAUAUUACUAGACACGGGCAAAAAUGUUUUAAGGUGCCAGCAUCAUACCAAGAAACACAGAUGUCAGAAGUAGACACAGAGCUUUCUUUAAGCCAUCAUAUAAUUCAAACGGUGGUUCUCUGCUGAAGCCUGUUUUCACCGUGUGUCUCUAUAGCAGAGACGUGAUCCCGAGCCCUGCUCACAUGCCCAGAGAGAUGACGAACCCAUUAAGUGAAGGUGGAACCACCAACCACUAAACACAAAGUUCCUGUUAUUGUUGGAAAAGGAAACUGGAAACAAAAGCCAGGGUUUCAAAAAGUGACAGUGCUUGGAGGAUCUCAUGCAAACCACUUAAAAGAAGGGCAAGAACUGGAAGAGGUCUGGGUACCCCACACUUGGCUGGAGAACACAGAAUCGUGGGCAUUCGCAUUUAAAGCUGCACACUCAACCCUCAAAAGGUGCUCCUGGGCAUCACUGGGCCCACUUCGCCAAAGGGAAACUGAGGAUGAUGACUCGCCAUAGCUCAGAAUAGCCCACGUGUGGCAGAGCUGGACUCAGCAGAGUGAGGACUCCAGUGUCCCCGCCAGCCCGAUCUCUUCAUGGAAGGUCUGGUCAGCCUGCCCUCAGCCCUGCGCCCUGCAGGGCACUGUGAUGACUGGCCAGCACAGCCCACACCAAAGCUCUCCUACGACGCAAGUCACCGCAGAGAUGAAGACAGAGCCAUGCACGUUCCCCUCCUCUCAACCUCCAUCCUGGAAGGCUCUCCCCUGGGACUGAGACACAGCUUCAAAGAAGGAGCCACGUGGGGUACAAGGGCAUAGAGGGAGCACCCCUCCGGGCAGCCCAGGCUCCCCACCCACCCUGAUGCCUGCUGGGCUGGGACACCGGGCAGCGUGGCCCUGGCUCCAGGCCCUGGCUUUUCCUUGGAGAACUGGAAUCCAGUGGGAAAGAUGGAUAUGGCGGACUGCAAGGGUUUGCAAGGGACCGUCCUGGGGGGGUGAGGUUUGCCUCUCUAGUAACCUGGAGGUGUCAUCCACUUUGUGUAUUAAUCCUGGGGGCUCCCCUCAGUACACUACGUACCUGAAACUCUUGGAAACAAGAGCAGCUCCUCAGACAGCCCUAACCACCGGGGAGACAAGUCUGCCUAUACAACCAGACUUCCUUUGGUGGGAAAGCACACCUCCCACCCCACACCCACCCUAGAGUAGCCGGGGCCUUGGCCUCAGGGCUGCCACCGCAGCUGUUCAGAAGAGCCACAUCAUCAGCUCAGGCGCACUAUGUGCUAUAGACACAGGCACGCAAGCCUCGUCUGUGGGGAAGGGUCGUUAACUGGAGAAAGGUCAUACUUCCAGUCUAUUACCCACCGUAAUGAGCAAAUGCAAAUGAGAGACCUUUCUCAGGUCAUAAGAGACUGUGUGUUUUGGAAACCUGAAUAAUCCCUUAACUGAGGAGGAAACUCAAGAGGAAUAAGCCAGCAUUUCUGGGGCUCAGGGCCCUGUGUUGUAUUAUUCCAGAGACCUCCAGGCAACAGAUGCCCCCACAACCAGCCUCCCAGAGUAGCUGAGAUUACAGGCAUGGACCACACUGCCCAGCCCAGCUGUACUCUCACAGAAAGAAGAUAUAAAACUUCUUGGAAAAACUUACUAAAGAAUGCAAAUUACUACACAGCAAUCUUUAGGUAUCUGUAAGCACUGGACAUCUCCAGUUUGAACCACAGACAAAUGUCAAUUAUCCAAGGUCAUGCAUGAAAACAGUACCAAGAGUGGUUGCCCAAAAAACACUUCCAUAGGCUUUGCAAAGAGUCUGUUUUAAUACUUCGCUUGGCAUACAGAUGUGUCUGAUAAUCAGGGAGUUUACUGCCUGGCAAAUAAUGAAGCCACCCUAAGAAGGUCUACACAGUCCAAGGACAGAAGGGCGUGUGGGCUUCUCCUUCUCGAGCUCCCCACCCUUUCCUGCUGAGGACAGCAAGGGCAGGUGUCUGCAAGCCAGCCUCCUCCCUCACCAUCCCUGUCCUGAGGAGAUAAUGAGUCCUUUUGGUUUAAUGGACCUCCUGCUGGGCUGCAGCAAACACAGAAAUGCAAAAGUAAGAAAGAAACUGUAAUUUGUGACAAUGGGGGACUUUAGCAUAUUCUCCAGUUAAUCGUGUAAUUAGUAAAUGGAAACAUGACUCCUCUUUGUAAAAUUCAAAUUCCACAGCCUGGCAUCAAAUGCACUCCAGUGUCUGGGUCCUGCCUGUCCUCUGGCCUCUAAGUGACAGUGACAAUAGAGAUGCCAACUGCAUGAGGAAGGUACUGAACUGUACAUUCACUGGCCCACUUAGUGCAAUGAGGUGGGUAUCAGUAACCCCAUCCUACAAGGAUGAAACGGGCUCCAAGAGGUCAUGUGACUUGCCCAAAGCAACAAAGCCAAGCAAUGGUGGGGAUGGAGGCAUCUCCCAAGGAUGCCUGGCCCCAAGGCCCACCUGCUGUCCCUUCAACCAAGAGUCUUGCCUGCUAAGGCAGGCACCCCAAGAUGUUCAUCUCUGGAUUUCAUUUGUGCCUGGCACAAAACGAGGCAUGAGGUAGACCUCCACUACAAAUUUUGGAACAAAGCAUGGUGGACUAUAGUGCACCUCUGGUUUGAGAAAAUAUGUCCAGCACACCACCAGAGCAACACCAUCCACUUAUUUAAUGAUCACAAACAAGAAAACCUCGGGUAUGGGUAGAAACGCAGGUACUCUCUUAUAAUUAUUUCUUUUCCCAGUGAUUUAAAAAAAAAUUUUUUUUUUUUAAUUUCUGGAGUUUCUCUAUGUUGCAUGGGCUGCACUCCUACUCCUGGGCUCAAGCACUCCUCUGCCUCAGCUUCCCACAGUCGCUGAGAUUACAGGCGUGUGCCACCCCGCCCAGCCCAACCAUACUCUCUCCUAGAAAGAAGAUAUAAAACUUCUUGGAAAAACUUACUAAAGAAUGCAAAUCACUACACAGCAAUCGUUAGGUCACUGCAAACACUGGACAUCCAGUAAAUGUUGACAGUUGACUGAAUGAUUGAAUAGAAUUCCCAGACGUUUAAAGACAUAAUUUCCGUACUCAAUUGAAGACAUUAUCCCUUUUCCCAAAUCACAUUCUACCAGGCUGUUUCUGUCAAAUACAGUGUUCUUGAAAAAUUACUGCAAGUGCCUGGUCAGAGACCUGAGGCCUCGAUUGAUCACACUAUGAGAUGAGGUUAAACGGAGCAAUUCAAUUUACAAAGAUAUUGAUGCAUGUUUAAAAAUACUGUGAUAGAAACUUCCGCAGAAGCUCACAUUUACUUUGUCAGAAUUCUCUAUCAGCUUAAACACAAAAUAGCCGGAAUUUACGAACAGUUGACCAAUUACAUGUCAGUGAGUAGUGAACACGUACAGUGAUAUUUCUUGCCAAGCACUGAAACCUCCUUCCCUCCCCACUUGAUAGGUCUGUGGGAAAGGGAGUGCCUUUGCAACAGAAAACGCAGAUACAAGCACAGCACUGGAUUCCAACCUUCCUUACAGCCAAGCACAGUCAUGCGACCCAAGCUCCACUCAAAGCACCAUCCUGGGCUUGACGUGGCACUGGAAACAUGAGAAGACAGCAAGGCUCAAGAGGAGCCCUUCCUGCUGGUGGUGGCUGUUGCCUGCAAGAAGAAUCCUGACUGAUGCACAGCCUUGCUGUGAUCCUGUCAGGUCACACACGCUGCCCUUACUACGUAC
rnacentral:lncRNA from 1 species